UACGUAGGGGGCUAGCGUUGUCCGGAAUCACUGGGUGUAAAGCGCGUGUAGGCGGCCUGCCAAGUCUGCUGUGAAAGCGCCUGGCUUAACCGGGCGAGGUCGGUGGAAACUGGCGGGCUGGAGGUCGGUAGAGGGGGGUGGAAUUCCCGGUGUAGUGGUGAAAUGCGUAGAGAUCGGGAGGAACACCAGUGGCGAAGGCGGCCCCCUGGGCCGUACCUGACGCUGAGACGCGAAAGCGCGGGGAGCGAACGGG
rnacentral:rRNA from 1 species